CGGGGAGGCGCAGGACGUGGCUGGAACUUUCGGACGGUCGCAGGAGCAGCAGAAGGUUGGCCCAAGGUGUCGGCGCGGAAAGCCGACGAGCCGGCGGUGCAGCAACGAAGCUGCAUCUUCAUGUAUGUGAAAACAUCAGCAAAGAAAGAGGUUGCUUUGGCAAAGUGGGUAGCUAUGAUCAAUACCUUUGUUGCUCCUAUGCUGAAUCCAUUUAUUUAUACCUUAAGGAACCAGCAGGUGAAACAAGCACUUAAGGAUGUUGCGAGAAAGAUACUUUCCUCAAAUGUAUUGAUCUGGUUUCAGUUUACAACUACAAUAUCCACCCAACAAUUUUUGCCAGAGAACCAAUAAAGAAUAAAUUGUUUUGUUCCUUC